AACAUAAAUGCAACUUUUAACAUAAAGGUCAUAAUUAAACUUUUAUUUACAUAAUUACAUAUAUUUAGGAAGUGAAAUCUGCUCAUGGUUAAUCUGACAAGAUCCAAAAAUUACAAUUUUUUUCAUUAAUAAAUUCUGCAGCACACAAAGAACAACCACAAUUUUGACAAACAACAUUCAACAAGGAAAUUACAGAACAGUUUUUCUCUUGAAAAUAAUUUAAAAUUCCUAAAUCAUGGGAACUGAGGAUCACAUUCAGUUAUGUAAAAGAAAUUAAGAGCAUUACUAAACAGUUUACCAUUGACAAGUGGGGAUGGCGCUGAAAGUCGAGUCAUUUGGUUUACUUCUCUAAAGAAAAAGGAGACAAUACCAUUGUUUUAAGGUUGAUAAAAUCCAAUAAAAUGAAAACUCCAUGAUUUCACUAAUCUGAUAAAUGAGUACUUAUGAGCUAACCCUCUAACCCUACAGCAAGCAGCAUCCUGAAGAUGACCUAAAAAAAGCUGUCCCCAAGGCUUGAAAUGAGACAGAGAUGCACGUUGCCACUGCUUACUCUUGUUCUGGAGAUUGUAGUGUCACAGAUCAAUGAAAAUUGCUGAGAUUUCUGUCAUCUCUAAGUGUACCAUGCUCAUGAAGAGGACUCAUACAUUUAUUUGUCACCAGACUAGAAGUCAUUCAUUUACCUGGACUUCCAUCAUAUCUCCUUCUUGCUAUUGGUAAGCCUGUAUUAUGUAGCAGAAAGAUGUUUAUUCUGAUACAUCUAAGGAGGGGAGUAGCUAGAAGCCAGAGACUCCUCAUCCACUGGCUGUAGAGUGAUUCUGGAUUGACUUGUUUUCUAACCUCAGCUCUUUAGAGCUGUAAGCACACACACUGCCCAUUGCUUCAUCCCUGGGAGUGUGUGAUGCCUUCAUGUCCUGUGUUAAACUGAAAACCACUCUAAGCAGUAGGCAUAGACUCAAAUGAUCAACACUUUUCUAUUAUAAGAAAAACUCAGUUCUUAGAACAUCAUGACUCAAGGACUAUGGAUUUUCAAAGUAUGUGUUGUAAUCUUGGGAUGUGAGCAUCUAAUGGUAAUAAAUCUGCAUAACAUGUUUACUUGAUUAUCAAUGCUAUGGAUUGGUGAUUGAAUUAUAUUGAAUUACAAUGCUGGGUAUGGGUAGUUUUGUUGUUGUUCAUUUGCUUGUUUUUUACUUUCUGAGAUCAUAAUUAAAUUCCCUCUUACCCCUUUUUCCUACAAAGCCUUUCAUAUGCCACUCUUGCUCUCUUUUAAAUUCAUGGCCUUGUUUCUCAAUAAUUGUUGUUACACAGACACACAUGGUAUAUAUAACUAUCUACAUGAGUAUAUGGAUAUACACAUGUAUCUCAAACAUAUAAUAAAUACAACUUUCCCAGUUUGUAUGUUGUUUGCAUGUUUUCAGGGCUCGCCAUUUGGUGCUGGACCUCCACCUGGUGUGCUCGUCCCUGGUGGACUACUACUCUCACUCUAGCAUCCCUUGGUUACCCGUAGUUCGUGUAGGGUGAGCCUCCUGAGCUUUCCCUUGACCACUUAGCACGUCUACUAUCAUCCUCUUCAGUUCAUAUUUGGGCAAUCAUGUGAAUGAGACAUUAUGGCUGUAGCUUCUGACGUUGCCAGAAGAUAGAAUCUCCCAGCAACAUCCCGAUCGUCUGUCUCUAACCAUCUCUCCACCUCCUCUUCCACAAUAAUCCCCGAGCCUUGGGAGCUGUAUUGUAGAUGUAUCCGUUGGGACUGUGCUCCACAACUCUGAAUUUUCUUUAGUUGUAGUUUUCAGUAAUGGUCUCUGUAGUAGAGAAGUUUCCUUGGUGGUGGUGGUAGGAGAACUGUACUUACUGUAGGGUAAGGACUAGACUAUUUAGAACAUAGGAUUCUGUUGAUUUAGUAAAGUAGGGGUUGCAGAUUCUCCUCCCAAACACACGACAUCACUUUCCCUUUCAGUUGGGCAGCUUUCCAGCUGCAGCACGCUGUCCUUUGUGUGGAGUUGUUCUUAAGUCCAACCAGGAGCUGUUGGUUACUCCUGAGGUAAUUGUGAUACAACUGCACCCUCAGAGGUAUUGUGCCAUCCCGGACCAUUGUUGUGGUUCACAGGUGUGGCUGCUGAGUAAAAUAGUUGGUUUCUUCCCUCCUUUAGAAGCUUUCAUGGGGAUUUCUAGCACCAUGAAAGCUAGUUCUCAGGGAGGAGGCUUUCAGAGAUACUGCAUGAGACUUCUGGCCCCUGUGUCUGAAGUGCAUGGUGCCUUUAAAACACAGGCACUUACCUUCCACCUCUGGGUAAUGGUCAGAUAAUAAAAAUUUAUGUUAAGAAAAAUGAAAUCACAAAAUUUACUGGCAAAUAGAUGGAACUAGAAACUAUUAUGUUGAGAUAACUCAGACCCAGAAAGAUAACUGUCACAUAUUUUCAUUCAUGUGGAGCUCCCAGAUCCAAAUCUUCAAAUACCACUAUUUGUCCUUUUGGGUUUGAGUUACCUCACUCAAGAUGGUUGUUUGUAGCAUCAUAUAUUUCCCUGAGUUUUUUCUAAUUUCAUUUUGCUUAAUUGUUGAGAAUAUUCCAUUGCGUAAUACACUACCACACUUUCAUUAUCCAUGUGUCAGGUCUCGACAUCUAAACUGUUUCCAAUGUGGGGUUAUUGUGAAUAGAGCAACGGUGAACACGGAUGAGCAAGGGCAGUCUCUCUGCACUCAGACAGACUCCUCUGCAUGUAUGCCCAGGGGUGGUAGCGCUGGAUCUUGUGGUAGAUCAGUUUUCAGCAGUGUGAAAGAGACCUUUGCACCCACAUUUGUAGGGUCCACCUCAGUUUGCACUCUCACCAGUAACGGAUAGUAACCCUUUCACUGCAUCCUCGCCAGGGAGUGCUGUCAUUUGUUUUAUUGAUCUUGGUCAUUCUGACUUGACUAGUAUUAGAUGGAAUCUCAAUGUAUUUUUAAUUUGUAUCUCCCCGGUGGCUAAGAAAGUUAAACUUCCCUUGAUUUCUCAGCUACUCAUAUUUCAUGUUUUGAAAACUCUAUUUAGUUCUGUACCCCAUUCUUUUGCUAUUUGUUUUUAUGAUGAUCAGGGUAUAUUUAGUUCUUUAUAUAUUCUAGGUAUUAAUCUACCAGGUAUAUGAUUGAUGGAGAUGUUUUCCCAUUUUGUAGGCUGCUGCUUUGUUUGAAUGGUGGUUUCUUUUCCCAUACAGCAGCUUUCAGCAUCAGGACAUCUCGUUUAUUAACUGCUAGUCUUAGUGCCUAUGUUUCUGAUUUCCCGUUCAGAAAGACAUUUCCUAUGCCAAUGAAUUCAAACCCAUUUCUCGAUUUCUCUUCUACCAGAUUCUCAGGCUUAGGUCUUUUAUCCAUUUGGAGUUGAGUUUUGUGCAGGUUGGAACUGUUUUCACAUUUCUACAGAUAGCCAUCCAGUUUCACCAGCACCAUUAGUUGAGGAUGGUGCCUCUUCUACAGUGUGCAUUUGUGUGUGUGUGUGUGUGUGUGUGUGUGUGUGUGUGUGUGUGUGUGUGU